rnacentral:lncRNA from 1 species
CUGCUGCCCCAGCUGCCGUGGACUCCAGUUUAGACCCUCUCGGAGUCCUGAGAGCCUGCCAGCAAUCACAGCCCCGACCAACCCGAGUCCUCCUCGAACAUUCCUGUUCACUGCAGUCAGGGAUCUGCCUGAGGCUCGUGGCUCGGCCAUCCCCAAAGACUGAUAUUCUAAACCUGGGCCCUGAACAGGGUUGGCCAGAAUCCAGGGGCUCUCUGAACCUGCGUGGGAGAACAUCACAUCCUGAUGUCCACCAAGGUCUACCUAAAAGUUGGCACUUCCUUCCAUUAUGAGAGCAGGCCACAAGCAUGGGAGUCUUAGCAACGCCCGUGACCUCAUCUCCAACAGAAGUCACGGAGAUUUUUGUAUCCCCUGACGUUGUUGCAGAUGUUGUCAAAUACCACUUAUCCUCAUUAGCCUUACUCUCAAAGCAGGGUGGUUAUUAAUAUGAGCUAGUAGAUCCUAGUCUUUGAUAUUUCUGUCAUAUUUCAAUAUAGUUGUUCUCCUUUGUAAUCUUAACGAUUUUAUUCCAUGAAUUUGAGAACGUUAUUCUGAGAAGCACCUAUUGGCUCCUAA